rfam:Cricetulus griseus cell line CHO-K1, whole genome shotgun sequence.
GGAGAGAUGGCUCAGAGGUGAAGAGCACUGGCUGCUCUUCCAGAGGUCCUGAGUUCAAUUCCCAGCAACCCCA